rnacentral:rRNA from 1 species
UACGAAGGGGGCUAGCGUUGCUCGGAAUCACUGGGCGUAAAGCGCACGUAGGCGGAUUGUUAAGUCGGGGGUGAAAUCCUGGAGCUCAACUCCAGAACUGCCUUCGAUACUGGCGAUCUCGAGUCCGGGAGAGGUGAGUGGAACUCCGAGUGUAGAGGUGAAAUUCGUAGAUAUUCUGAAGAACACCAGUGGCGAAGGCGGCUCACUGGCCCGGUACUGACGCUGAGGUGCGAAAGCGUGGGGAGCAAACAGG